rnacentral:miRNA from 1 species
UGCAUGUGAGGUCAAGGCCAAGUCCGAGAGAGACAAAAGGGCAGGUGUGGCAGCGCUGCGGGGGCUGGCCCUGGGGCGUGCAUG